CCUACGGGAGGCAGCAGUGAGGAAUAUUGGUCAAUGGACGAGAGUCUGAACCAGCCAAGUAGCGUGAAGGAUGACUGCCCUAUGGGUUGUAAACUUCUUUUAUAUGGGAAUAAAAUGUUCCACGUGUGGGAUUUUGUAUGUACUAUAUGAAUAAGGAUCGGCUAACUCCGUGCCAGCAGCCGCGGUAAUACGGAGGAUCCGAGCGUUAUCCGGAUUUAUUGGGUUUAAAGGGAGCGUAGGUGGAUGGUUAAGUCAGUUGUGAAAGUUUGCGGCUCAACCGUAAAAUUGCAGUUGAUACUGGCAGUCUUGAGUACAGUAGAGGUAGGCGGAAUUCGUGGUGUAGCGGUGAAAUGCUUAGAUAUCACGAAGAACUCCGAUUGCGAAGGCAGUUCACUGGACUGCAACUGACACUGAGGCUCGAAAGUGUGGGUAUCAAACAGGAUUAGAUACCCUUGUAGUC
rnacentral:rRNA from 1 species